ACUAAAUAGAUACCCUGGUAGUCCACGCCGUAAACGAUGGAUGCUAGCUGUGGGGGGGUAUCGACCCCCUCCGUAGCGAAAGCUAAACGCGUUAAGCAUCCCGCCUGUGGAGUACGGCCGCAAGGCUAAAAACAUAAAGGAAUUGACGGGGGACCCGCACAAGCGGUGGAGCGUGUUCUUUAAUUCGAUGAUAAACGAAGAACCUUACCAAGGCUUGACAUCCCGAGAAUUACUCCGAAAGGAGUGAGUGCUUUAUUGAACUCGGUGACAGAUCUUGCAUGGCCGUCGUCAGCUCGUGUCGUGAGAUGUUUGGUUAAGUCCAUCAACGAGCGCAACCCUUAUGAAUAGUUGGAUUUUUCUAUUCAGACUGCCCCGGUAACGGGGAGGAAGGGGGGGUAUGAUGUCAGGUCAGUAUUAGUCUUACGUCUUGGGCUAGAAACGCGCUACAAUGGCCGGUACAACAGGCAGCUAACCCGCGAGGGGGAGCAAAUCCUAUCAAAGCCGGUCCCAGUUCGGAUUGGAGGCUGAAACUCGCCUCCAUGAAGUCGGAAUCGCUAGUAAUC
rnacentral:rRNA from 1 species